ensembl:misc_RNA
UAGAGCUUGGACUGUUCUGGAUUAGCUAACAAAUUAAGAUUCUGGUGCUGAAAGUUGAAUAUGUGACCCUAAUUAACA